GAUGAACGCUGACAGAAUGCUUAACACAUGCAAGUCAUUGGCGAAGCUGCGCUUGCGCAGUCUAGCCAAGGCGGACGGGUGAGUAACGCGUAAGGAACUUGCCCUGCAGACAGGGAUAACAGACGGAAACGACUGAUAACACCUGGUGUUGUCAGGCUGGCGCAUGCCGGACUGAUGAAAGGAGACGCUGCAGGAGAGCCUUGCGUCCUAUUAGCUAGUUGGUGGGGUAACGGCCCACCAAGGCGAUGAUAGGUAGCCGGCCUGAGAGGGUGAACGGCCACAAGGGGACUGAGAUACGGCCCUUACUCCUACGGGAGGCAGCAGUGGGGAAUAUUGGACAAUGGGGGCAACCCUGAUCCAGCAAUUCUGUGUGCACGAAGAAGGUUUUCGGAUUGUAAAGUGCUUUCAGCAGGGAA
rnacentral:rRNA from 1 species